CUACGGGCCGCUGCAGUGAGGAAUUUUGCGCAAUGGGGGAAACCCUGACGCAGCAACGCCGCGUGAGUGAAGAAGGCUUUCGGGUCGUAAAGCUCUGUCAGAUAGGAAAAAAGUUCAUAUGUAAAUAGCUUAUGAAUCUGAUGGUACUAUCAGAGGAAGCACCGGCUAACUCCGUGCCAGCAGCCGCGGUAAUACGGAGGGUGCAAGCGUUGUUCGGAAUUACUGGGCGUAAAGGGCGUGUAGGCGGUAUGGUAAGUCAGAUGUGAAAGCCCUGGGCUUAACUCAGGAAGUGCAUUUGAUACUGCCAUCCUUGAGUAUGGGAGAGGAGAGUAGAAUUACCAGUGUAGAGGUGAAAUUCGUAGAUAUUGGGAGGAAUACCCGUGGCGAAGGCGACUCUCUGGACCAAUACUGGCGCUGAGACGCGAAAGCGUGGGGAGCAAACAGGAUUAGAUACCCUAGUAGUC
rnacentral:rRNA from 1 species